GAAAACCAUGUAUAUCUUCAUUUUGAUUAGUGACUCUUCGUCUACUUGAGGAGCAGAAAGUAACAUUAUGUUUGCUGAUCAAUUUGCCUACUUCAUCUCUUAAUGCAUAUAUGUGAUCCACUGCUAGCUGACCGCCAUCCUUCCACUCUCUCUUACUCUUAUUUGAACUUGAGUUUUAAGUAUCUUAAUAUUCUCUUGGGACUGUGAUGGAACUUCUUUAUAUGUGAUCCGCUGAAAGCUCAGUGCCACCAUCCAUCUCUUACUCUUAAUUUAACUCGACUUUUAGUAUCUUAAUAUUCUCUUGGGACUGUGAUGAAACUUCCUAAACCAAUUAAUGGACCAGCAGAAUAUUUUCUCUCAAGUGCCAUCUAGAAAGAUGAUCUUGCACCAGCUUUCAAUUCAACUCGGGUUCAAGUACCUCGGAGUAGGAGCCCUCUUGCACCAGCUACCAUCUAUGUAAAAAGUUUAUUGUAAAUAAGAAUUAAGUGUGUUCGGUAGUACUUUUGCCUUCUUUGUAGUAUGUGGAAAAUUGUUGCUCUGCCCAACAAGGUCCGGCUUAUUCUUAGCCAGAGAAAUAAAAG